UGCACAGUAGUUCAGAGGUAUAGAGCAUCUGAGCAUGUAACCAGGGAGGUCACUGGUUCAAAUCCAGCCUGUGUUA